UUGACUCACUCCUUGGUCUGCACCAAUCCUCACAUCCCUCAGGUCCUCUAACUUUUACGACUGUAUCCAGAAACCGAUUCUUUGGUCUCUACGGCUCCAGAAGGCUCGCUCUUCAAGAAACGUUCCACUACCUUCGGUUAGAAGUGGAUACAUAUAUGAUUUUGGCCUAAAGAAAUCUUUGCAAAAAGGGAGAAUGCAAACUUGUCCUUUUCCUUUUGGAUUUACGGAGUGCCAGUAUCAGGUGUGGUUCCAGGUUCCCGUUCCAGGUUCCAGAUAGGGCUGUAGUGAGAGGUCUCGAGCCGACAAGCACAAGUCCAAUUGCCUCUUCUUUUGAAACAGAGUCUAUUGAGGAGGAAUCUCUGAAAAUGACAGCUGAUGGGUGUAGAGACCCAUGCCCGGAAUCUCAGCAACUGAAGUGGUUGAAGCAGGAGCAUCUAGGCAGAGCUUGUAAGCAUCUCUAGCUUCUGACAUUUUUGCUGGUGUUAUGUUUUUUGGUUUUCUUUCUCAGAGGCUUUCUGGUGCCCCUAGACUGUGCCAGCUCCGUAUAGCCCUCCUUCAGCUCUCCAGCUUUUUGCCUAUGCAGUCUCUGCUCCUAGCCUUUCAUAACUAAUAAACUUUAAAAUUUAUAAACUCCAACAAAUGAAA
rnacentral:lncRNA from 1 species